rnacentral:tRNA from 1 species
AAAAAAUUAGUUAAAACCAAUAACAUUAGUAUGUCAAACUAAAAUUAUCCUUCUUUGUGGAUAUUUUUUG